rnacentral:rRNA from 1 species
GACGUAGGGCGCGAGCGUUGUCCGGAUUUAUUGGGCGUAAAGAGCUCGUAGGCGGCUUGUCGCGUCGAAUGUGAAAACUCGGGGCUCAACCCCGCGCUUGCAUUCGAUACGGGCAGGCUCGAGUUCGGUAGGGGAGACUGGAAUUCCUGGUGUAGCGGUGAAAUGCGCAGAUAUCAGGAGGAACACCGGUGGCGAAGGCGGGUCUCUGGGCCGAUACUGACGCUGAGACGCGAAAGCGUGGGGAGCAAACAGG